AUUGCAGUUGCCAGAGAGAGAGAGUUCAUUGGACAUUUUCGUUUAACAAAACUUGGAUUCCAACAGGUUUUGGUAGAACUUAGUCCUCAUCUACCAAUAGUUAAACGAAAUACAGGUGUUCGCAAUGCACUCAAAAUUCUAGCAGCAUUAAAUUUUUAUGGUAAUGGAUCAUAUCAACGGAAUGUGGGUGCAUCAUUUCUACUGAAUAUGUCGCAACCUACAUUCUGUAAAUGUUUACAUGAGGUAACUGGUGCACUCAAUACCAACGAAAUCCUUAG
rnacentral:misc_RNA from 1 species